rnacentral:rRNA from 1 species
UACGGAGGGUGCAAGCGUUGUCCGGAAUCACUGGGCGUAAAGGGCGCGUAGGCGGCUCAUGAAGGCUGUGGUGAAAGUCCGGGGCUCAACCUCGGAUCGGCCGUGGCGACUCGUGGGCUGGAGCACUGUAGAGGCGGGUGGAAUUCCGGGGUGUAGCGGUGGAAUGCGUAGAGAUCCGGAAGAACACCAGUGGCGAAGGCGGCCCGCUGGGCAGUGGCUGACGCUGAGGCGCGACAGCGUGGGGAGCAAACGAGGAUUAUAUACCCUUG